UCUUGUUAUGUCAACUCUACCUUAAAUUCCUAUCUUUUCUUCCUUACUAGCACUAACACACCACAUACACUUUUGCAGAGUCACCUGAGCUGUUGUCCCACGUGGUUUUCCUGGAGUGCAUGUUCUUCACAUCAGGAAUUUGUAGUUCUCCUACAGUGCAUACCCCACAGAUACAAACGCAAGGAUCUUUUGAAGAGCAGCAGUCAUGAGUUGCAUUUAGAUUGGUCUCAGGAAGAUGUGCAAAUCACUGUACACAAAAGGAAAUGAAACCAUUAAAAGGGAUACCUGUGAGCUGUAAACUCCGAGAGGAAGAAAUUACUAUCAGUUUGACAGGUUUGUCGGUGAAUUAUUUAUUUAUGUAGCUCAAUAGAUUUAAUAUUAAUCACAGAUGACAGACACGAGUUAAACAUGCUUUGCAAACACAUGCAGUGCCCUCUCCUUUACUCGAGAAUGGGUCAACUUAAAAUUGGUUCUGGUAGGGGCACAGAUAAUCAAGUGGGAGAGCUGAAAUGAGAACCAAAUGAAAGCAGCCCAAAUUGCUUUUAAAAGUCUCAAAUGAGUAUGCUGUUGGAAGUGCUAUAAAGAUAGCACAAAAGAGCCAGCUAAAAAUCGUGGCUCAAGCUCAAUUUUUUGCAAGC
rnacentral:lncRNA from 1 species